rfam:Solanum lycopersicum cultivar Heinz 1706 chromosome 8, whole genome shotgun sequence.
UCAUCAGUAGCUUAGUGGUAGAGCGGUUGGUUGUUAACCGAUUGGUCGUAGGUUCGAAUCCUACUUGGGGAG